CAAGUCGAGCGGCCGAGCAAUACGGCAGCGGCAGACGGGAGAGUAACACGUGGGAACGCGCCCUUUGGUUCGGAACAACUCAGGGAAACUUGAGCUAAUACCGGAUAAGCCCUAACGGGGAAAGAUUUAUCGCCGAAGGAACGGCCCGCGUCCGAUUAGCUAGUUGGUGAGGUAAUGGCUCACCAAGGCGACGAUCGGUAGCUGGUCUGAGAGGAUGACCAGCCUCACUGGGACUGAGACACGGCCCAGACUCCUACGGGAGGCAGCAGUGGGGAAUAUUGGACAAUGGGCGCAAGCCUGAUCCAGCCAUGCCGCGUGAGUGAUGAAGGCCUUAGGGUUGUAAAGCUCUUUUAGCAGGGAAGAUAAUGACGGUACCUGCAGAAAAAGCCCCGGCUAACUUCGUGCCAGCAGCCGCGGU
rnacentral:rRNA from 1 species